AUUGAACGCUGGCGGAAUGCUUUACACAUGCAAGUCGAACGGCAGCACGAGAGCUUGCUCUUGGUGGCGAGUGGCGAACGGGUGAGUAAUAUAUCGGAACGUAUCCAAUAAUGGGGGGAUAACUAAUCGAAAGGUUAGCUAAUACCGCAUACGCCCUACGGGGGAAAGCAGGGGGAUCUUCGGGCCUCGCGCGAUUGGAGCGGCCGAUAUCAGAUUAGGUAGUUGGUAGGGUAAAAGCCUACCAAGCCUGCGAUCUGUAGCUGGUCUGAGAGGACGACCAGCCACACUGGAACUGAGACACGGUCCAGACUCCUACGGGAGGCAGCAGUAGGGAAUAUUGGGCAAUGGACGCAAGUCUGACCCAGCCAUGCCGCGUGCAGGAUGAAGGCGUUAUGCGUUGUAAACUGCUUUUAUACAGGAAGAAACGACUCUUGCGAGAGGCAUUGACGGUACUGUAUGAAUAAGCACCGGCUAACUCCGUG
rnacentral:rRNA from 1 species